UUUCGGGUCCGUGCCGUGACGUCACAAACCCGUGACGUCAUUGAGACUUGGUGAUCCUUUGGCCAGAUCCAGAAACACUGGGAUUUCGCAUCUUCUUUCUGUUUGUCCAUGGAAGAAGAGGGUAUUUGUGUCAUCAUGGCUUCUGGCUGUGUUGUUGGCUACUAUAAUCUUACUGGUAACCCCCCUGGGAUGAACCUGCACUAAUUUCCGAAGGAUUGUGCUUGGCACAGGCCGAGCAGUGCACCAUAGCAGCUAUCAAGCGACAUAAUUAUUUGCUUGACAAUUUCGGGACUACAAUGUAAAUCCUUCGCGUGUGUUCCAGCCAUUUGGCAGAGGAGGAUUUUCAGGAGGAAUAUUAUGCACUCAUCCGAUGCGGACGCUGGUGGAUGAAACUGUGGUGUGUCCUUUUUCGCACGCCACACUGUGAAGCGUCAGUCGAAAAGCGGAGGAAGAAGAUCAAGAUCGGCUGCACCAUCGGUCGCAGUGACUCACUGUUGAGCUACGACCACUGCCACCGCCCCAAGGUUAUAGGAAGGACUGUUUGCAGCGCCAGCGCCUCUAGCUGGCAUGUUUUUUUCCUGUAUGAACACUCAGUAUGUACUGCUGAUAAGGUACAUCACGCAAUGACCCGCAGUUCAAGGAGAGAAGAUAGUCCACAUACCGGCAACAGUGUACACCUAUUCGGGAACUCGUUGGGUUUUCUCAGCAUGGAUGCAGAUGAGAGCCAGACAUUAUUUUUAUUAUUGUGUGUAUGCGUGCAAGCGCGCGAAUGUGUGUGUGCGCGCGCACGCGCGUGAGUGUGCGCGCACGAGCGCGAGUGUGCGCGUGCGAGCGUGAGUGUGUGCGCGCGCCCGUGAGUGAGUGUGCGCGCACGUGAGUGUGUUUGCGCGCAUGCGCGUGAGAGACAGACAUUAUUAUUAUUGUGUGUGGGGGUGCACGCGCGUGAGUGUGUGUGUUUGCGCGCACGCGCGUGAGAGACAGACAUUAUUAUUGUGUGUGUGGGUGCACGCGCGUGAGUGUGUGUGUGCGCGCGCACGCGCGUGACACUGAGUGUGUGUGCGCUGCACGCGCGUGAGUGUGUGUGUUUGCGCGCACGCGCGUGAGAGACAGACAUUAUUAUUGUGUGUGUGGGUGCACGCGCGUGAGUGUGUGUGUGCGCGCGCACGCGCGUGACACUGAGUGUGUGUGCGCGCACUUGCGUGAGUGUGCGUGCACAUGCGUGUGCUUUUGUGAAAUGUGAUUAUAACAUUCCAAAGAUAUUCAUGUCAUCUAUUCUGUGUUCUCCUUUAUGUCAUUCUCUCCCCCUUGCGGGAGGGACAUGGAAUGACAAGUAGUAGAUGCAUUGCCGUUAGUGAUCCUGA